AUACGUAGGGUGCAAGCGUUAAUCGGAAUUACUGGGCGUAAAGCGUGCGCAGGCGGUUUUGUAAGACAGUGGUGAAAUCCCCGGGCUCAACCUGGGGAGUGCCAUUGAGACUGCAAGGCUGGAGUGCGGCAGAGGGGGAUGGAAUUCCGCGUGUAGCAGUGAAAUGCGUAGAUAUGCGGAGGAACACCGAUGGCGAAGGCAAUCCCCUGUGCUUGCACUGACGCUGAUGCGCGAAAGCGUGGGGAGCAAACAGGAUUAGAUACCCGGGUAGUCCACGCCCUAAACGAUGUCAACUGGUUGUUGGGGAUUUAUUUUCUCAGUAACGAAGCAAACGCGUGAAGUUGACCGCCUGGGGAGUACGGCCGCAAGGUUAAAACUCAAAGGAAUUGACGGGG
rnacentral:rRNA from 1 species